UGAUCCAGCAUGCCGCGUGAGUGAAGAAGGCCUUCGGGUUGUAAAGCUCUUUCGGCCGGGAAGAAAUCGCAUCUCCUAAUACGGGGUGUGGAUGACGGUACCUGAAUAAGAAGCACCGGCUAACUACGUGCCAGCAGCCGCGGUAAUACGUAGGGUGCGAGCGUUAAUCGGAAUUACUGGGCGUAAAGCGUGCGCAGGCGGUUUCGUAAGACAGAGGUGAAAUCCCCGGGCUCAACCUGGGAACUGCCUUUGUGACUGCGAGGCUAGAGUAUGGCAGAGGGGGGUGGAAUUCCACGUGUAGCAGUGAAAUGCGUAGAGAUGUGGAGGAACACCGAUGGCGAAGGCAGCCCCCUGGGCCAAUACUGACGCUCAUGCACGAAAGCGUGGGGAGCAAACAGGAUUAGAUACCCUGGUAGUCCACGCCCUAAACGAUGUCGACUAGGUGUUGGGAGGGUUAAACCUUUUAGUACCGUAGCUAACGCGUGAAGUUGACCGCCUGGGGA
rnacentral:rRNA from 1 species